UACGAAGGGGGCUAGCGUUGCUCGGAAUCACUGGGCGUAAAGCGCACGUAGGCGGGUCGUUAAGUCAGAGGUGAAAGCCUGGAGCUCAACUCCAGAACUGCCUUUGAUACUGGCGACCUCGAGUUCGAGAGAGGUUGGUGGAACUCCGAGUGUAGAGGUGAAAUUCGUAGAUAUUCGGAAGAACACCAGUGGCGAAGGCGGCCAACUGGCUCGAUACUGACGCUGAGGUGCGAAAGCGUGGGGAGCAAAC
rnacentral:rRNA from 1 species